rnacentral:tRNA from 1 species
ACAAAUGUAGUUUAAAUAGAAUUUUUGUUUUAGAAAUGAGUGGUAUUACUUGAACGUAAUCGUUUGUU